ensembl:lncRNA
CAGAUAUCUUUCGUGAGGUCUUGUUUAUCGCUCUAUCUGCAGCGCUGUUCUUGCAACGUCAUUUCGCUGACUCUACAUUUAAUUCAUAGCAUUUCGGUCCCUUCUCCUGAAAACACGCUUUCCAAUGUAAAGAUACUCAACGUAGUGGUGAAAUUGAACUCCCUUUUCAACUUUGCGGAGGCAAAUGUAAUCUGCCGAUCUCUGAAAGCGCUUAGGCCUAAUUGCUUAAUGACACAAAUCCCAUCUCUCAACCACCACAUGCUAUACCUUGACUAUAAUGUCCUCUAUCGUGCUUGUAAAUAAUACAAAGUGAUGUUUUGGCUUAUUUUACCAUGUCCUCCUGAAGUACACAAGUGAGCCCUGCUGUUCUUAGCCCCUCUGCUUUUUGUAGGUCGUUAGACCCAUGAUCUGCUGAUAGGUGUUGUGGGGACAGUGUAGGAGACUGCUGUGCCUAGGUAAGUAAGCCGGGGUGUCAUGUCCUACAACGAAGAUGUAGGAGGUAAUGUUAAUCUUUACAGAUUCAUGCUUUAUAGACUGAGAAUGGAUUGUGUGUACUUCACGUCCUGUUUUGAGGACACUUCCAACAUUUAGUGUCUUGAGGUUCUUAGUCUGUCCAACUCGUCCCCAUCUUAUUUCUCAUCUUCCUCUUUUAGGCCACUUUGAGCUGGAUGUACGGAAGUGGAGUUCUGCUUAAGGUAUUGGCAUAUAGAUUUUGCAGAAUCGGUAAACUGAUGUUGAUGUAAAAACAAACGUGGAACUAUUGGAAUGUUACAUCACUGCCCCUUAUUUUUGUACUGCAGCAAUGGAAUCGUUUCAUGUGGGGUGAUUUGACUUGAAUAUAGUGCAGUAAGUAGUUAAUACUUGUGCAAUUCCCUAGAUAUGUGGGUAAUCAAUGUUUUGGGAAUCUUCCAGGGACUAGUUGCUAGUAAAUGUUCAGGUUUGAUUGGAUGGACCAACUUUCCCCAUGCUUAGUUUUCCCUUCUCUUCCCCUCUAAGCCACUGUUUUCUUUCCAGGGGUCGGCAGCUGGUCCUAAAUUCCUGGUGGUCCUGAAGCCCUGACCCGGCUUGUCAGGAUUGUAUGCUGUGAAUGGCUUCCACGGCCACCCGGUCAGAUGGAUCUGUAUGUAGGAGCUGCAGUAGCACGCCGAAGGCUUUGAGCGAGCCCAUCUCGAAGAAAGAUCACUGACUACCACAUGACAGUAGUUAUCUCCUGACCAAAUAGGUUUUCUCAAGUUCAUUUGGUUACAUUGACCUUUGACAUUUGACUCAUGUGUUUGUGUUAUCAUGCUGCAAUGCAAAGACAUUACAACUCAAAAGCACUGUAUUAAAAUAUUGCAUUUGCCUAACCA